AUUGAACGCUGGCGGCAGGCCUAACACAUGCAAGUCGAACGGCUGCAGGGAGCUUGCUCGUGCAUUCAGCGGCGGACGGGCGAGCAAUUCCGAGAAAUCUGCCUAUUUGCUGUUGCUAACGUGCUAAAACGGGCACUAAUACGCCAUACGUCCUUACGGCGAAAGGGUGUGAUCUUCGGAUCUCACGCCAUCACGUGAGCCUAGGUCGGAUUAGCUAGUUGGUGGGGUAAAGGGCUACCAAGGCGACGAUCCGUAACUGGUCUGAGAGGAUGAUCAGUCACACUGGAACUGAGACACGGUCCAGACUCCUACGGGAGGCAGCAGUGGGGAAUAUUGGACAAUGGGCGAAAGCCUGAUCCAGCCAUGCCGCGUGUGUGAAGAAGGUCUUCGGAUUGUAAAGCACUUUAGGUUGGAAGGAAGGGCAGUAAGUUAAUACCUCGCUGUUUUGACGGUACCAAAAGAAUAAGCACCGGCUAACUUCGUG
rnacentral:rRNA from 1 species